rnacentral:rRNA from 1 species
AUUGAACGCUGGCGGCAUGCUUUACACAUGCAAGUCGAACGGUAACAGGCCGCAAGGUGCUGACGAGUGGCGAACGGUGAGUAAUGUAUCGGAACGUGCCCAGUCGUGGGGGAUAACGCAGCGAAAGCUGCGCUAAUACCGCAUACGAUCUAUGGAUGAAAGCGGGGGAUCGCAAGACCUCGCGCGAUUGGAGCGGCCGAUAUCAGAUUAGCUAGUUGGUAGGGUAAAGGCCUACCAAGGCGACGAUCUGUAGCGGGUCUGAGAGGAUGAUCCGCCACACUGGGACUGAGACACGGCCCAGACUCCUACGGGAGGCAGCAGUGGGGAAUUUUGGACAAUGGGGGAAACCCUGAUCCAGCCAUGCCGCGUGAGUGAAGAAGGCCUUCGGGUUGUAAAGCUCUUUCGGCUGGGAAGAAAUCGCACAGGCUAAUACUCUGUGUGGAUGACGGUACCAGCAUAAGAAGCACCGGCUAACUACGUG